rnacentral:rRNA from 1 species
AUGCAGUCGAGCGGCAGCACGGGGAGCUUGCUCCCUGGUGGCGAGCGGCGGACGGGUGAGUAAUGCAUAGGAAUCUGCCCGGUAGUGGGGGAUAACCUGGGGAAACCCAGGCUAAUACCGCAUACKUCCUACGGGAGAAAGCAGGGGACCUUCGGGCCUUGCGCUWUCGGAUGAGCCUAUGUCGGAUUASCUGGUUGGUGAGGUAAUGGCUCACCAAGGSGACKAUCCGKAGCUGGUCUGAGAGGAUGAUCASCCACWUCGGGACUGARACACGGCCCGAACUCCUACGGGAGGCAKCMGUGGGGAAUAUUGGACAAUGGGGGCAACCCUGAUCCAGCCAUGCC